UCUAAACUUUCUAGAUGGAUCAGCCCAACUACCCCCGUUAACCCCUAGAGCGAGGAGACUGAUCCAUCCACAUAUCGUCUCUCCUUCUCCUUCACCCAGCGCCUCCUCCAUCUCCCGGCUCGUCCCCAAGCAACUGCCCUCGAGGAGUUCCCCGUCCUCGUCGCCGGACGCCGCCGCUCCUACCAAAUCCAGCCGCCGCCGGAUCUGCCUCCACCGGACCAGAUCCGUCCGGAUCCGGCUGCCCUCGACCAUCCUCGACCUUAUAUUCUCCUCCAGUCGCCUGAUUGAUGCGCCGCCGACGGAUCUGCCUCCGCUGGACCGGAUCCGUCCGGAUCCGGACGCCCUCGACCGCCCUCGGCCUCGUCUGCGACUCCUCCGUCCGGAUUCUGCUGUCCUCGACCGUCCCCGGCCUAGUUUGCUCCUCCCGUCGUGUGAUUUGAUGCCCCACCUAUUCGAUUUCUUCGAUUUCGUGGUGUUGCAAUCUGCUUUUCUUUGAUCGAUUAUUUGAUAGACCGAAUCCUUCCCUUGUGAUUAUCCUCAUCUCUGUGUCCUGAUUUCUGUGGUCGCUUGUUGAAUCAUCAACGUCUACCUA